rnacentral:rRNA from 1 species
UCGAGGAUCUUCGUCAAUGGGCGCAAGCCUGAACGAGCGACGCCGCGUGUGCGAUGAAGGCCUUCGGGUUGUAAAGCACUUUAGUGGGGGAGAAAAGGGCAACCUUGAUCUAUCCCAAGAAUAAGCACGGGCUAAGUUCGUGCCAGCAGCCGCGGUAAGACGAACCGUGCGAACGUUGUUCGGAAUCACUGGGCUUAAAGGGCGCGUAGGCGGCUUGCCAAGUCCGGGGUGAAAGCCUCCAGCUCAACUGGAGAAGUGCCUUGGAUACUGGCGAGCUCGAGCGAGGUAGGGGCGGGUGGAACUUCCGGUGGAGCGGUGAAAUGCGUUGAUAUCGGAAGGAACGCCGGUGGCGAAAGCGACCCGCUGGACCUCUUCUGACGCUGAGGCGCGAAAGCUAGGGUAGCGAACGGGAUUAGAUACCCCUGUAGUCC